UACGAAGGGGGCUAGCGUUGCUCGGAAUUAGCUGGGCGUAAAGCGCACGUAGGCGGCUUCUUAAGUCGGUGGUGAAAUCCUGGAGCUCAACUCCAGAACUGCCUUCGAUACUGGGAGCUCGAGUCCGGGAGAGGUGAGUGGAACUGCGAGUGUAGAGGUGAAAUUCGUAGAUAUUCGCAAGAACACCAGUGGCGAAGGCGGCUCACUGGCCCGGUACUGACGCUGAGGUGCGAAAGCGUGGGGAGCAAACAGG
rnacentral:rRNA from 1 species